rnacentral:rRNA from 1 species
CCUACGGGGUGCAGCAGUGGGGGAUAUUGCACAAUGGUGGGAACCCUGAUGCAGCGACGCCGCGUGGGUGAAGAAGCGCCUCGGCGCGUAAAGCCCUGUCAGCAGGGAAGAAAAUGACGGUACCUGAAGAAGAAGCCCCGGCUAACUACGUGCCAGCAGCCGCGGGAAUACGUAGGGGGCAAGCGUUAUCCGGAUUUACUGGGUGUAAAGGGGGCGCAGACGGCGAUGCAAGCCAGGAGUGAAAGCCCGGGGCCCAACCCCGGGACUGCUCUUGGAACUGCGUGGCUGGAGUGCAGGAGGGGCAGGCGGAAUUCCUGGUGUAGCGGUGAAAUGCGUAGAUAUCAGGAGGAACACCGGUGGCGAAGGCGGCCUGCUGGACUGCAACUGACGUUGAGGCCCGAAAGCGUGGGGAGCAAACAGGAUUAGAUACCCGGGUAGUC